UUCAAUUUGGCAGAAUAGUGUGAUAAAUUUAGAAUUUAUUUAUGAUAAAUAAAUUAUCAAUUGAAA
rnacentral:tRNA from 1 species